GAUUUAGUAAUAAAAUCUAACCAUUUGAAAAUAUAUAGAAAGAGAGAAAUAAACUUAUUGUACAUGAAGGAAGAGGUGAACCGUCGAAGAGAUUAUUAAAGGUGUUCUCGAAUUUCAUAUUUUGUCUAUGUAAACUAAAUGUGGUGACGAAGAAGUCAAUUAGAGAUCAGCGUUCACAUACGUAAAAAUAAAUUAAAAAGAAAAAAAAAACAUUCAAAUUAGACAAGCGUUAAACGAAAGAAAGAAGCUGGGCAGUGAGUGGAUGUAGUGAGACCUAACCCUAUUAUUGCCUGGAAAGUUUGCUCUUGGGGAUGCAGCUGGAAACUACAACUAUGGUUUGGAGUGUCUCUUUAGGUUUUAUAGUUAUGGUCUGGAGAGGCAAUUCGAUGAGGAGCUUUACAAGGACUUUGAGCAGCUAUCACUUGACUUCUACCACAAGGGAAACUUAUAUGGCUUGGAGAAAUAUUGGUAGGGACCUUUUUGUUAAGA